rnacentral:rRNA from 1 species
GACGAACCGUGCGAACGUUGUUCGGAUUCACUGGGCUUAAAGGGCGCGUAGGCGGGCUCGCAAGUCGGGGGUGAAAUCCUGGAGCUCAACUCCAGAACUGCCUUCGAUACUGGCGAUCUCGAGUUCGGGAGAGGUGAGUGGAACUGCGAGUGUAGAGGUGAAAUUCGUAGAUAUUCGCAAGAACACCAGUGGCGAAGGCGGCUCACUGGCCCGAUACUGACGCUGAGGUGCGAAAGCGUGGGGAGCAAACAGG